GACGUAGGGCGCGAGCGUUGUCCGGAUUUAUUGGGCGUAAAGAGCUCGUAGGCGGCUUGUCGCGUCGAAUGUGAAAACCCACGGCUCAACUGUGGGCUUGCAUUCGAUACGGGCAGGCUAGAGUUCGGUAGGGGAGACUGGAAUUCCUGGUGUAGCGGUGAAAUGCGCAGAUAUCAGGAGGAACACCGUGGCGAAGGCGGGUCUCUGGGCCCGAUACUGA
rnacentral:rRNA from 1 species